AGGAAAAUAUACGAUUAUACUUUGUUGAAUUUUAGUGAAACUUUUAUUUGGCUUAUUUCUUUGAACUCAAAUAAAUUCUAUUUUUCAUGAGUAUUUAUGGGUUCAAGGGUGGUGUUGUCCCAGUGUGAGGGUUAUGGGUCGCUCAACAUACUUCCGAUGAGUUAGGAGGUUUCGGGGACUGUUGUUACUUCCGGGUACUUGAAUCCUCACAAUGGUGUUAGCAUAAAAAACUGAUUAGGUGUGUAAUGGAAAACUCGAAAAACAGCAAACGGUGCAAGCCAAAAAUUGCACAGUCGGCGUUACACAGCCGUGUGACAGACCGUGUGUGUCACACGAGCGGGGUUAUUUGAAACGUAUGGCCCACAUGGGCAUGUGUUAGACUGUGUAGACCACACGGGCUGGGCCAGUUGGUCUGUGUGGGCCACACGGGCGUGUUGGCCCAUUUUUUUCAAAAAUUUUUACUUAGGCUUGUUUGACUCUAAAAUUCGUAAUUACACUUUCACUGGGGUCUAUCUGGCUUAAAUAUGACUCUGAAACAUGAAAUAUGAUAUUUUGCUAUUGUAUGUGAUAUGGUUAAUGUAUGUGUUUCUGAUUUGUUGCUUGGAAUGUGUUACACACUGGGCUUCUAGCUCACGUGUUUGUUUAAUACGUUUUAGGUGGUCUUCUGACUUAGGACCGGACAAUGUGCGGGUGCUCGGAUUGUUUUUCUUAGCUAAUUAAAAUAUGGUGAUUUUCGUAAUUAUCUAUUUUGGACUUUUAGGACUAUAAUAUGUUUUUUAGGCUUUGUUUUGGUUUUUGUUUAAAUCGUCGGUAAUUGUUAUUUUUGAACGUGAAACUGUAAAAUCACACGAGUUAACAAAAUGAAUUUCGGUUUUCAAAAAUAAAACUCUGAAAAUUUUUCCACUACAAAUUAAGUAACUUCUCAAGUGUUUUUCUGUAAAUGAGAUCAAGCUAAGAGCUAUUUUGUAAAAUAAAUAAGCUCUAUGUGUAAUUUUCGAAAUAAUAUGUAAGUGUUUUGUCAAAAAUAUUAUUUUCAUAAUUCUCAAUUUCUAAAGCUAGGAUUUAACUUUUGGGUUUUCAAACAAACCAAUGUAAUAUCUUCGAAUUUGGCCAUAACGUCUAGGUCGGGUUUUGGGUGUUACAGGGAGUUUCAAUUUAGUUCUCUUUAUUUUCACCUUUUGUUAUGAGGGCUAUAAUUUAUUAUAGGUUUUUUCAAAAUGCCAAAUUGGGAGAUUGUUGGGACUUUGAUUGUUGCAUGUUCGAAUAACAUAUGGAACGACAACUUUGGUGUAGUCAAAGACGUUCGGGUGCCAUGUUUGAAUUUUGAUUUAAUCUUAUUAAUAUAGAAAAUGAAAAGUAUUUUGUGACAGAAUAUCAUGUUUAUCUAUUCAACUAACUUAAAGGACAAGGGAGAAGUUUGAAGUGUUAUACAUGCUUACGUUUAUCCUUAUCUUAUCCUUAUCUCUUAAGAGUUUUGAUGUUGAUGGAAAGUUGUUAUUUAAAGAGAUUUAUUUGAAUAUUUUUCAAGAUAAAUUAUGAAGAUAAUUACCAACAUUUAAACAUGUGAUAAUGACUUUGUUUUUUAGUGUUGAUCAUAUUGGAGGAGAGCCUACAAAUAGGCUGAUUGAUCGACUUCUACUUCAACCGUUUAGGGUGUUUUAGACACUCUUUGUUUAGGAAUUUUCUUAAAAAGAUAUUGUAUGUAAUGUGAGGUAUUAGGGGGAGUGAUUUGUAACAAUUUGAGUUCGACUUUGGAGCCGUGAUUAUCGUAUGGAAAGGGUAUACUGUGCUGCGAUUCUCUCUUUACUUAUCUCUUCGACUCACUUACGUUUUUGGACUGAUGAUGCAAACUCUCUAUUUCUAUCCAACUUCUAUUUCAGUGGAAGUUAGAAUGAAAUUGUAAUUUAAAUGCAAACUGAAAGCUUUUGCACUUUGGAUUUGUAUUUGUUUCUCUUUAUUGUUUCUCCUUCAACAAAGGAUCAUUUUUGUUUUUAAUAUUUCUUUUGAUAUUUUUAGAAAAUUUUAAAUUUUUAUGGAUUUCUAUAUUUUUAAAUAAUUUUUUAUAAUUUUUUU
rnacentral:lncRNA from 1 species